GGGGCGGGGGCGGGGGCGGGAAGGCGGGGGAGUGUUUUGUUCCCUGCUCUGUCCCGGCACUCAGAGCAGUGCCUGGCAGGGGUGGGUACUCAGUACACACCUGUUAGCAAGUGACUCCGAUGCAGGGACCGUUCUCUCUAAUCUCCAAGUCCACCUUUCUUAUGUUAUACUAAGGAUUUUCAGUGUUUUUUCAUGCACCAUCCAAUCUUUUUUGACUUUUAGAUCAUAUGCCUCAGAGCCCAUCUGGGUACAAAAACACCCGUUUUCAAAAAAGGAACCAGAAAGUGGUUUCACCUCGCUUUAGGAUGUGAAUGAAAGCCUCUCCUUCCGUCUCCCGAGAACGGACUUUCAGAAGCUGCAGGUGCCCAGGUCCAGGCCCCACGCUGUGGCCCCGCAGGGACUGUACUCACUCUUUAUUUUUCUCUUUUCCAGCUCUCCACAAGCCAACAGCUCUCUCCUGGCUUUGAUUUUCAACCAUUUAAGUUGAAAAAAAUUCAAAACAAAUGAAAGGCACUUAAGAGAAAGCCUUGAGGAGUUCAGCAGGCCACCCGAAGUGAAGGGACUCCUUUGGGGGUCUUUGUUGUUAUCAAUUAUUUAUUGAGCCCUGAUGUGUUCCUGGCGCCACCAAGACUGAGAGGAGACAGGGUCCCUGCCCUGGGUCAUCCCAACGAAGAAGGGAGAGUUUGUGAAGCUUAAAAAUGUCCCAGAUGGAUAGGCCUCAUCACUCCUCAGAUGGUUCUCGAAGGAUAACACACAGGCCAAUGGGCAGCCCUAGGCCAGGGGGAUUACCAAGACAUGAAGACUUUCUUUCUGUCUCAGCAACCUUCAUGCUUGGUCAAGCAAAGGUGUUGCUUAAGUCAAACCCAGGGCAGGGGAGAGCAGUUGAAGCAAAGUGAGUCUUUGGAGGCCCUGUGGUUGUGGGGUCUGGUGUGGAGACAAUGAGAACGGAAAAGGUGGGAGAGGAGCAGUCAACCCGUGAAUGGCCCCAUUCAGACGCCUUUACCUGGAAGACGUGGCAGGUCUACUGGGGUUCAUCCCAUCUGAGCCAGGCCUGGCUUUUCUUGGCUGCAAGCUGAGAGCUGGGUCCAGGUCUGCUGAACCAAGGUUCUCCCAUCUUCCUUGAGCCAGUGACAAUCAGAGGCCUAUUUCUUUCAUGAUGGAAGGCAGGAGAACAAGCAGAUAAGAACCAAAGGACAUCCGGCCUUUGCGUUCUCUCCACCAGCUCCCGGCUCACCCACCCAGCAGCUCAGCACCUGCGAAAUCUGUCUCCCGAUGCACACUUGCUAACCGCGUGGGUGUGAGCACAACGAUGGGAAACAGCGGAAGUCCCCGGAGUGCAGACUCAGGAGUGAACCUGCCUGAAGAGUGGCGUCUAACGCACACGCUGUGGUCAGCUCCACCCCACUCUGGGUCCCGGGAGUAGGAACAAGUGCGUAUUUUGCUUGCAGGGCAGGUGUUUCAUCCACAUUAUUGCAGGAACAGAUGAAUUUAAUUAAAAGAACACCACAGUGGGCACCUCUUCCAGGGAUGCCUCCCUCUAAGAACAUGACACUGAGAUGAUCAAGGUUCUAAAAGGGCGAUCAAAUUACUCUCCGAAAAUGAAACUGCUCAGACAGAAUGACAAUUAAAUUAAUAACAACCAAGACAAUGCCCAGAUUUCAUCUCCGCUCACAGCCCCUCCUGUGUGCUGUAUGAUCAGGUUCUUGGGGGUGGCUCCAGAUACAGCAAACAGUCAGGAUUAAUCCACAAGAGUGAGCUGUCAGCAUGAGGUUCCCCUACAGUGGAGCUUGCCAAGGUCCGUGGCUCCCAGGGCACCCGUUCCAGGGCUAACAGAUGAAGCAUGGAAACGCUGUGUGGAGUGAGCUAAGCAGCCGUUCUCAGGAGAAAACAGACAAAUCCUCCUGCACCCUGGCUCACCAGCUUUGUGGCCUGUUUUAUGUCAUCUUUGCUGAGCUCCACCGGGUCACCCCUCCUGCUGGCUUUGUGAUACUGACAUUUCAGGCACUGGCACAGAUAUAUUGGCCUUCCUGGCUGGGAUUUCACGGACGGAGUGAGCAGUGCUGGCUUGGAGGAGCCGUGGCGGCACAGGGCCUGUGCUCUCAGCUGAUCAGCGCCUGUCCUGACCCCAAAGGGCCCUCGCAGCACUGUUUGAAAUUGCUCUUGCCAUGUUUGGAACCGAUUCCUCAGUACGUUUCAGACUCAUUGUUGUGAUUUUGGUUUCAAUCCAGGGACACACCGUGGCCAAUGGAGUGUCUCAACAGCAUCUAUGAUCGCUGUUUCCCAGAGACAGCAUCUCAGAUACCGAUGCUGAAAGAGAAACAGCAGCCUGUCCCCAAGUGGCAGGAAAUAGUCCAUUUUAACGGCAAUUUCAUAAGUGGCAGAUGAUUUUUAUUGUAAUUUUCUGGUGAGCUGAUUAAGUGGAGGCAGAGUCAGUUCUGAGGCGUCAAUGUCUUUAAUAACUCGGGGAAACCGAGGCCACGCUCAGCGGGAACACUGAGUCCAUGGAAAACAGGCCCUGGGCCCACUGAUGUGCAUAAUUCCACGUUUGCCCCUCAUGUAACCAGGAUGGUAAAUUACAGGUGUCAGAUAAUCACGCUCUGGAGUGGCUACUUGAGGAUGCGAUCGACCAAUUUAAGCUCCGUCUGACACAUGAUCAAUAGCCCGUGAUGCUGCAUGGAAUUGCAGGCACAGUGUCCAAACCUGCAGAGCAGUGGCUCCCAGCUGGGGCAACUUUGCCCCCCAGAGGACACUUGGCAAUGUCUGGAUACGUUUGCAAUUGUCACAACUAGGAAAGGAGGUACCCAUAGGAUACACAGGAAAGUCCUCACACAGUUGUAUCCUGCCCAGACUGUCCGUAGAGCCAGGGUGAGAUGCUCUGACAGAGCCACAGUGAACAUUGCAUUCCAUCAUCUGGGUAUCUCCAGGAAUGUAUGUAGCUGGAUGUCUGGCUUUUCAUCUGGGUUUCACCAGCCUCAUGCAGAACUGAAACCAUGUGCAAAUCAGUUCUCAUACUUGCUCUCCUGCCUCCUUCCUAUUGUAAUUUUUUCUUCCCACCUUUUUUAUUGUUACUAGAGAAAUGAUGAAGAAAAAGAAGAGGCUGGAGAGUCACUCAAAAUUUUGUUUUCCUCAAUUAAAAAGAAGUAAUUUAGAAGUUACUCAAUGAUGUUUUCUUUAAUUAAAAAAAAAACUAGUUUGGGAAAGCAGAAAUUUAAUGAAGACAGAAAACACAGGUUUCAUGAAAAAGUUCAGCAUCCCAGGAAAGGAGCAAAGAGAAGUCUGCAGAUGAGAGUUGCUCAGUGUCAGGACUCAGAAAACAAUACCCCAAGAUAAUGUUCAAACCUGAGUGCUUUGAACAAAGGAUAUUGAAAGACCUCAGAAGAGGGCCUCAGAACUCACAUGUCUCUCUGACCUUCUCCUGUCUCUCCUUCACUUCCAAAGCAUGAUCUUUGGCCAGGGGAUCUCUCUGGGAUUCCCUUAUCUGCCUGAGGGAUGUACUUCCAAAAGAAAUGUGACUGGCAUGACCUCCUCCCUAGGAAUCUCUUCAAACAGCCGGGAAAGACUGGUCACCUGAGAGGAGAUUGGAAGUCCUCACUGCACUCAGAAAGGCUGUUGUCCAUUCUUCUAGAGACUUUAUCUGAAUAACAAGGCAACCUUUGUUUACCAUUCAGUUCCUCCCCUUUCCUUUCUAACUUGUCACCACCUCCCCCAAAAGCCUCAAGCCUCCACUCCUACAAGCUAUAAAGACUUCAUCCAUC